AUGGCCAAAUAUUUCUGGAGCAGCUCUAUUGACAAAAAUGCAUUGCAUUGGGUUUCCUGGAAGAGUUUAGCUACACCAAAGUGCCAAGGUGGUAUGGGGUUUCGUGACCCCCAUCAGUUCAAUCUUGCGCUACUCGGGAAGCAUGGUUGGCGCUUUAUGACCAACCCUAAUUCCCUUUGCGCAAGAGUAAUGAAGGGCUGCUACUUUCCUGACACGGAUUUCUUGCAUGCUUCUGUUCCAAAGUCAGCGUCAGUGACUUGGUGGGCUAUCAUUGCUGGUAGGGAAGCUUUACAGGCGGGCCUCAUCAAAAGAGUUGGAUACGGGAGGUCCAUUGAUGCUUGGCAGGACAAGUGGAUUCCGGGCACCAUAUCUAUGUUACCUUUGCUAAAACCUCCUACCACGCCGGUUCAGACAGUUUCGGACCUCAUUGAUACAGAUAACUGGACGUGGAAGCAGGAUCUGAUUAGGACUACCUUCAUUGCCCCGGAUGGUGAUGCCAUUUUUAGCAUCCCACUCAGAAGGGGAGGAGGAGAGGAUUUCUAUGCUUGGGCUUUUGAACGAUCAGGCAACUACACUGUUAAAUUGGCGUACCAUGCUCUAGUUACUCAGAACGAGCGUCUUGCUCUAGAGGAAGGGACGGCUACCGAUGCUUCUCGAGAUGAUAAACAGAUGUGGACAGCCUUGUGGAAACUCAAAGUGAUUCCCAAAGUGCGAGUGUUCUGGUGGAGGGUACUGAGAGGGAUUCUACUGGAUGAAAGCACUCUAAAGUAUCACCACAUUUUAGUCUUAGAUACUUGUAAAGUUUUUCUGGCAAGGGAGGAGGAUCUCAUGCAUGCGCUCAUUCAAUGUUCCCAUGCAUGA
rnacentral:rRNA from 1 species